UUAUUUUAUUUUUUUUUAUUUAUUUUUUUUUUUUUUUGGAGCUUGGUUGUAUUAAUCACCUUACACUUUUAUUGUAUUGAUACAUUUGUGAUAAAAAUCUCCGUCAUUGCACGGCAAAGGGGACUAAGUAAAUGAAGACUGAAUUUUAUUAACUUAUUUUUUUCCAUCCUUUCAACACCACACACACAAAAUCCCUUAGAGAUGCAAACAGAUCCUGGAGCAGAAACUCAUCAGUGGGCAGUAAUACUGUGCUUGAGGUUUGAGUGGAGGCCGAGGUCUGCAGACGCCCCACCCUCCUCUUCUCAGACAGAAGUGCAAUUAUUUUUACCCAAAGCUGCAGCUGUUUAUUGCAAAGUCUGGCAAGUGCAUCACAGUCCCGCCAGGAGACGGAGGCAACUGAAAAAAUCUGCUAUUACGACUGGAAUAAAAUACACCACGAGUUGAGCUGCUGCCCAGGAACGUCCGACCAAAAGCCUUUAUGGCAGCAGAGGCUGUAUUUUCCACGAACCUAGAGCUGCCUGAUGUCAUCCGAUGUGUUUUCAAGGAGGAACACGUCGUGGAACCUGGAUCGGUGCGAUGUAGGCCACGUCCAAGGGCUUUUUCAUCAUUACAAGACUCGAGUCUGUGCCAGCGUUGUGCUGUUCUCAGGAUUCACCGCUUCGAGCCCGAGUGUGAGUUCCAGCCGCCUCUGAACAUACAACACCAAACGGACCUGAGAGCCACAUCAGACGGGCAGACGAGGGUCAGCGCAGUCGAAGCGAUCCCAGCGUUCAGCCGUCGACUGACCGUCUGACUGACAGCUGUGAAAUUCUCCAGUGCAGACAAAUGACCGAGCAGUUACCUUCCUCAAACGUCCAUCAUCCUCCACCUGAGACACGGAAAGGAGGACAAAAAAACCGUUUACAUGCUUUACAGGUUAAAGACAAAUGGAACAUUCAUUUUUUUCUUCAUCUAUUCCAUUACAGUUUUUUUCAACUGCUUAGACACAAAAUCUUUUACUUGUCACACGAUUUCUGAAAGCUGAUACUCAAACAGCAGAAGCACUCACCAAAUCUGCAAAACCAUACACUAAUUCUUGGCCUCUGAUUUAGUUUUCAAUUUCAUAAAACACUUUUUGCACACAAUUCUCUAUGAAAUGCACAAUAAUCUAACAGGAUGAUGGCAAAGGUGUUUACAAAUGUUUGCUUUUGAGAUGUGUUUGUGAUGUUUUGAAUGCAGUGCUUCAUUUUGCAAGAGAUGAGAGGAAUUUUGCAUUUUGUGUGUGCAUCUCGGAUUUGUGUGUAAAGUUUUGAAUAAAAAAGGCAAAGUUUUGAAAAUGUAAGUAGCUGGAAAAAAAAACGCGUAUGCAGUGAUGCGAUUGGCUCUUUCUCUCAGAAUGCGGCCUUAUUGAGCGUUGCAUUUUUCCCCAUUCAAAACUAUUAUACAAGAGACAUGUCUUUGACCAUAGACACAUAUCUAUGGUUUAAACAGCCAUUCAGAUUUUUUUAUUCGCUAUGGUGUUCAUCACAGCAGCAAAUUGUAAAUAUUUAGACCAGGCUAUUUAUUUUCAAAGUUUUUCUGCAUUUUCAUCUGGACUACAACAUGCCCUAGAUAUUGUUAGAACAUGUUUUGAUUCUUUAUUGUUUGGCCACAUCAAGUCUCUAUUAAUUAAUAAACUGCCAAUGAAAAAUUCUUCUAAACAUUCUUUAAUUCAUUAAGUAAUUUCUAUAUCUAAUAAAACCUUGUUAAAAUCAAAAGGUGCAACUGUGUUAUUUAAUGAACUAAGGGUUGCAUUUUUUAACAUAGAUUAAUAACUUCAGUAGCAAAUGUAGCUAUUGCUCAUAAUUAAUUGUUAAUGCAUUAACUAAGGUUAACUAAUGAGAUCAUAUUGUAAAGUGUUACAUAUUGGUCUUUAUAGCCUAAUUAUUUUAAGUGAUUGUUUUUAUUUUAUACAUAUUUUUGUGUGUGUAUUACUUUAUUGUAUGUAAAUGUUCAGUUAUUUUUGUUAUAAGAAAACGUUAGUUUAUGACAGCACUUUUCAUUGCCCCUAAAUUUCAAUAUUGUGAUAAUACCGCUUUAAUAAUAAAAGCGUUAGCAAUUAAUGGCAACAUGAAAAUUUCAUACCGUCAUAUGUCUAGUUGACAGUUAAGUGCAAAAUAAUAAAAAUGUGGUUUAUAUUUUGCUUAGUAUUCUAAAGCACAGCAAAAAAACUUUUUACAGUUUUAGAAAGAUGUUAUUCAUUUAAACAUUAAUUUUAAAUAGUAAAAUAAUACACUGUAAAAAUUAUUUUUCGAAGUUGUAAAUAAUUGCACAUUUUACAAGAAGUUAAAUCAGCAUAUUGAUUGCAUUGAAUUGCAACUAGUUUUAUUUACACCGUUGCUGAUGAUUUUGUUGUCGUGUUUAGUAACUUUUAUGACUAAAAUGUGCUUUGGAG
ensembl:lncRNA